UACGUAGGGUGCGAGCGUUGUCCGGAAUUAUUGGGCGUAAAGAGCUCGUAGGCGGUUUGUCGCGUCUGCCGUGAAAGUCCGGGGCUCAACUCCGGAUCUGCGGUGGGUACGGGCAGACUAGAGUGAUGUAGGGGGAGACUGGAAUUCCUGGUGUAGCGGUGAAAUGCGCAGAUAUCGAGGAGAACACCAUGGCGAAGGCAGAUCUGCUGGGCGUAAC
rnacentral:rRNA from 1 species